rnacentral:rRNA from 1 species
CAGUAGCCGCGGGAAUACGAAGGGGGCUAGCGUUGCUCGGAAUUACUGGGCGUAAAGGGCGCGUAGGCGGACAGUUCAGUCGGGGGUGAAAGCCCGGGGCUCAACCUCGGAAUUGCCUUCGAUACUGGCUGUCUUGAGUAUGAGAGAGGUGUGUGGAACCCCGAGUGUAGAGGUGAAAUUCGUAGAUAUUCGGAAGAACACCAGUGGCGAAGGCGACACACUGGCUCAUUACUGACGCUGAGGCGCGAAAGCGUGGGGAGCAAACAGGAUUAGAUACCCCCGUAGUCCCUGUCUCUUAUAC